AUUGAACGCUGGCGGCAUGCUUUACACAUGCAAGUCGAACGGUAACAGGCCGCAAGGUGCUGACGAGUGGCGAACGGGUGAGUAAUGCAUCGGAACGUGCCCAGUCGUGGGGGAUAACGCAGCGAAAGCUGCGCUAAUACCGCAUACGAUCUGUGGAUGAAAGCGGGGGACCGAAAGGCCUCGCGCGAUUGGAGCGGCCGAUGUCAGAUUAGGUAGUUGGUGGGGUAAAGGCCCACCAAGCCAACGAUCUGUAGCUGGUCUGAGAGGACGACCAGCCACACUGGGACUGAGACACGGCCCAGACUCCUACGGGAGGAAGCAGUGGGGAAUUUUGGACAAUGGGCGCAAGCCUGAUCCAGCAAUGCCGCGUGCAGGAAGAAGGCCUUCGGGUUGUAAACUGCUUUUGUACGGAACGAAACGGCUCUGGUUAAUACCUGGGGCUAAUGACGGUACCGUAAGAAUAAGCACCGGCUAACUACGUGCCAGCCGCCGCAGUAAUAC
rnacentral:rRNA from 1 species